CUCAGCUUACUGCAGCCUCCACCUCCCAGGUUCAAGUGAUUCUCCUGCCUCAGCAUCCCAAGUAGCUGGAAUUACUGGCACCUGCCACCACACCCGGCUAAUUUUUGUAUUUUUAGUAGUGACGGGGUUUUGCCAUGUUGGCCAGGCUGGUCUCAAACUCCCGACCUCUAGUGAUCAGCCUACCUCGGCCUUCCAAAGUGCUGGGAUUACAGGUGUAAGCCACCACGCCUGCCCUAGAAAACAGUUUCUUACACAAAAGGUUUUAGCACAAAAUGCCUUUGUAGUUCUAUACACAAGUCCAUUUAAAAACUGACAGCCUACCAAGUUAAGUUUAAACAGAAUUCUGGAAAAUACACACUUGGAAAGCACUACAGGGGGUGUCCUUUUGGAUGAGCUAUGAUUGUACAGAUUCAGGUGUGUGCUGACAAGAAGGUAAGUUAAGAAGCAACACUCAGGCACAUGUUUCAACAUGUUGCUGAGAGAAGUGUGUCACCCCUUUUACCUAACGAUCCAAAGAGAUGUGUAAAUAACCACUUCACUCAUCUCAGUACUUCCCAAGCCACAGGGAAGGAGUGUGGGAGCAAAGCUCCUUCAUCAAAGCACCAGAAAGAUGUCAGCAGAAAAACAAACAGGUCAGUGAAAUCAGAGGCAGAGCAGCUAAUGGGUUUUUUUUAAUGUUACAAAUGCAGGGCAGACUUUGAAUUCAAAGGAGAAUUCUGCAGCAGGUCAAAGGCAUCUUUGCUGUGGAGGAACCAAACAGUCUUUAAUUAGUGUGCAACUGGGAAGGGAGUUAGCGGGUAGCAAAGAUGCAAAUGAUGGUUGGAAUUCCAUGGGGCAGCUUCCACCGCUGAUACACAGCUGCCCUUUGCUGGCCUGUGCCAAGUACUGGACUGGGCCUCAGAGACCAUGUGCAGCAUGGGCUGCCACCCACACAGAGGAACGCUUCUCAGCUGGGACUCGUCAGUUCCGCCACCCUUUAAUCAGUCUCGUCUUUGGUCUCCAGCCUUAUUCAUCCUCGUGAUAGCAGUUUGCUCUGCCCUGGUGUGAUGGCUUGACUUAACUCUCUGUCUUUAUGAAUAUCCCUAUUCAGGACAAUCCUUAAAGGCUGCAGACACAAAAAGGAAAUUAUUAGUAGGCAGAUUAUGACUUGGAUUGUGCCUGUUUUAGUGCCUUUCCCUGUUUUCAUGUCAGCAGCUUCGCUGGAAGCAGCUGGCAUGCCCCCGAAGUGGCUGUUUGUGCCUGUCACUAUUGCCUAAUUCUAACGAAAUCCCUAAAAAUCAUUUUGUGCUGUCAUAAUCGUUUGCAUGAGCCAUAACUAGCUCUUUCAUUAUUAAAGCCCCAUCCAAUGGUUGGGGGAAUUUUGAUAAAGACUUAAUGAUAUGAUGAGCUAUUUCACCCUCCAUUCACAUCCCAGUGAUUCCAGGGCUGACCAAUGCAUUGUCUUGGAAAAUAAAACACAACUUAUGCUGGGUCAAAGGUGUAAUUCUGAAAUCAGUGGGAACACAUCCAAUUCUUCCUUCAGAAAUCCCUUAUAACUCUUAAUUCACUCCCCAGAAGCCCCCUGAAAUGUGCCUUUAUUUGCUGGCAAUGAAAUGUAAUGUGUUUGGCUUCCAAGGCCUUGAGGAGCUGCCAUCCACUGAGAAUAAUCUAAUAAAAUGACUUCAGGGAGGACGAAACCCCUCUAGGGUCUUUAUUUCGGAUCUCCAGAGUCAGUGGUUGUGCCAGCGCAACCCAGGGCAGCUCUCUCAUUUCCAAGGGUAAGAAUGAGCCUAGUGAGGUGUGCCCAGUUUCCUGGGGACCAGAGGAAAGAUUCAAUCCUGAUGGGUUCCAGGUUAGAAAAGACGAUCAUAGGAGGGGUCCUGGCCAUCGUAGAAAUGGUUGUGUUGUGCUAUGAGGAAUGCAUUUUGAGCCUUCACAAAAACAAAAACCAGGAGGUUCUAUCGCUGAAUGGUUUAAGUAUAUGUAUAUAUGUCCACCAAAAUCACUGCAAUUAUGGCUGGCCACAGUGACCAGUAGUCUCCUUGUCUCUCACUGUGGUCAAAAGAUAAUGGUGUGUUUAUUCAGCUUGCAAAUGAUGAGGUUCUUGUUUUUCAUUUUCCUCUCAUCUCUGCGUAACCUUUUAAUCACUUCUUUGAAGAUUAACACUGCUUUGGAAAAGGCUAUCAGAGGCGAGGUGGAGUGGUGUUGAAAUCAGGUCUGUCACUAUAUAACAUCUUAAUUGGAGAAAAGCUGAUGCUAAACCACCUGAAGCUACAAAUAUUGUCCUCUGAGGCCACAUCACUGAGUGUG
rnacentral:lncRNA from 1 species